rnacentral:rRNA from 1 species
GUGAGGAAUAUUGGUCAAUGGGCGAGAGCCUGAACCAGCCAAGUAGCGUGCAGGAUGACGGCCCUAUGGGUUGUAAACUGCUUUUACACGGGGAUAAAGUGUGCGACGUGUCGUUCAUUGCAGGUACCGUGCGAAUAAGGACCGGCUAAUUCCGUGCCAGCAGCCGCGGUAAUAAGGAAGGUCCGUGCGUUAUCCGGAUUUAUUGGGUUUAUAGGGAGCGUCGGCCGUCUGUUAAGCGUGUUGUGAAAUGUAGAUGCUCAACAUCUGAAUUGCAGCGCGAACUGGCCGACUUGAGUGCGCAGGAAGUAGGCAGAAUUCGUGGUGUAGCGGUGAAAUGCUUAGAUAUCACGAAGAACUCCGAUUGCGAAGGCAGCUUACUGUAGCGCCACUGACGCUGAAGCUCGAAAGUGCGGGUAUCGAACAGGAUUAGAUACCCGAGUAGUCC